rnacentral:rRNA from 1 species
UACGUAGGGUGCGAGCGUUAAUCGGAAUUACUGGGCGUAAAGCGUGCGCAGGCGGUAAGUUAAGUCUGAUGUGAAAGCCCCGGGCUCAACCUGGGAACGGCAUUGGAAACUGGCUUGCUAGAGUGUGGCAGAGGGGGGUGGAAUUCCGCGUGUAGCAGUGAAAUGCGUAGAGAUGCGGAGGAACACCGAUGGCGAAGGCAGCCCCCCUGGGCCAACACUGACGCUCAGGCACGAAAGCGUGGGGAGCAAACAGG